rnacentral:rRNA from 1 species
UACGGAGGGUGCAAGCGUUAUCCGGAAUCACUGGGUUUAAAGGGUGCGUAGGCUGCUUGAUAAGUCAGGGGUGAAAGCCUGCAGCUUAACUGCAGAAUUGCCUUUGAUACUGUCGAGCUUGAAAUAAGUUGAGGUCAGCGGAACGUGACAUGUAGCGGUGAAAUGCAUAGAUAUGUCACAGAACACCGAUUGCGAAGGCAGCUGGCUGGCCCAACUUUGACGCUGAGGCACGAAAGCGUGGGGAGCGAACAGG